UGUUAAGCUAAUGGGAAGCAUUGGGCAUUCCUGACAUCUGGCAAAUCUUCAGCAAGAGGAAGACAGAAGAGGAGUGCAGAAAAAGACAGUGAGAGGACAUUACUUCCUAAGUUAGCUGGAGGAUAAGAAUGAAGCCACUCACACCAGCGGAGCAGGUGGGGGAGGUAACACAUCUACUGCUGGAGCUCAGCCCCCCAUGUCUGUUACAGCUGGCAGAGGUGAGACAUCCACUUCACCAUCCCACACAGAGAAGGAAAAAGGUGAUUCCUGAUCAUCCUCACCAGCCUGCAGCUGCCCCAUGGCCUCAAACAGCCUUUCCCUCUCCCCACCCUCAAAAUGCAACCGCUGCCCCAUUCCUCCCUCUCCCUGAGAAGAGAACUGUCAGUUGUGGUCUCUGAGGGAAAGGCACUGCCCCAGCCAGCCUGGAAUAAAGCUACAGAGUGGAGAAUCAAAGCCCAGAUCCAGGCAGAUACUUUGUGGUAACCUAAGAUCCCAUGAACAUCUGGGGAGAUUUUUGAAAGGAGCCAGCGAAUACUCCUGGGCAGGGGCUGCUGCUCCAUCCUGACCCUCUGGGGAGCUGCAGUCACACACACAGAGGGGCCCAACCAGCCCAAAACGGGUGCAAGCAGCCAAGCCACUGCUCCCCGUGCUGCCUGUAGCAGCAGGUGGGACACAGCACGUGGGGUGCCACAUGCCAAGAGUCCCAAGCCUGGAGCAGGCAGCAGCUCCAUGGAGAGCUGAGGGACCACAAGACCAGGCGCUGACUCAGUCCACGGCAAGGAGGCAUCUCCCAGAGCGGGGUGAGAUGGGAGCAGUAGCUGCAGCUCCAGGACCAGAGAGAGGUCAUGCUGUCUUGUUUUCUGCUGGUUUAAAAUCUGAAGAGGAAACCCUGGGACACUUCUGAGACAGUCUGCCACCUCAUCGAAACAAUGAAGUAGCAGGAAUCUCCUUGGAGAGCAAUGGAUCACAGCACUUGUCAAGAUGAUUUCCAAAUCAAAGAUUUGAAUUCCAAGUUAUCUUGCAAGGGUAUAAUUUUGGAGCCAAUCAAGGCAAUGGCAAAAAUCCCAAUUUCUGCACAAUAUUCUUAAUGGAGCCUCUGAAAUUUUGGAGCUUUCACAUAUUAUAUAUUAUAUACUAUAGAUUAUAUGAUGGCUAAAAGGUCCUGCCCAAAUUCAGCAUCUGUGAGCCUUACAGAGGAAUGACCAUAAAGGGGAGUGAUGAAAAAGCCACUGGUCCAUCUGCCCAAUGACACCACUGACAUUGCUCAAUGUCACGAAGCGGAGCUGCGGGAGUUGCUCCGUGUGCUGCUUCCAGGUGAGAUGGCAACAGGAACAGCUAUAAUUCUUACAGAACACAACAAGGCAAAAGAAGAUUAGUUAAUGUUUUUGGAUAUAGUUGUUAGGUCCCAGAGAUUAGUCAGAGUGCCCCUAAAUAUCUCUGUCACUGAACUCUGAUUUCCAAGUUCUUUGCUCCCAACGCCCACCGGCUUUGAAAACCCAGCUGAGCUCUGGCUGCUGUGCCAGGAAAACCUUCUGGGAUCUGCCCAGUUCUUGGUCCUCAGCAGACCAUUUCAGGAGGGGAAGCAAGAGGCACAUCCACGUGGUGCAUCUCCUGGUAGGAAAAUGCCCUCAUUGUAACUCCUGUGGCACAGGUGACCCCUCGAGCUCCAUUCCCAGUGUUGCAGCUUCCAGUGGCGUCAUUUGGAAGGGAUCAGCCCCAGAGUCCUGGUCCUAAUAAAUAUGGCAAUUCUGAUGCUGUCAUUUAAGAAAAUUCAGUUUCCCAGGGAAACCUCAGACAAAAGAACCAACCCAAGAUAUUUAUCACUUCACACUACGUUAAUGCAAACAAAAACAUUGCACGCUGCAAUAAAUCCAUUACGGAGUCUUACCAGAACAAACUGAUAUUCCCAUGUGGCCAAUUUCAAGCUGGAAGGGUUUGGGUUGUUUUUUGCUAUUAAUAUUCUUUCGUAAUGGAGAAGGCAUUUUUCAAUUGAAUGAAAAACUUUGCCUCCAAAAAUGUUCAGUUUCAAUGAAAGAUUUAGAGGUUUCAGCAAGAAAAAACGAAGACCAGCAAUUCAAUGAUUGCCUGAGUGAGAGAUUUCUUCAGUAUUCCGCCUCUCCCCAUCACCUCAAAAAAGUCAAAAAGUAAAAUAUUAACUGAAAGAACCAAAUCCACCCAUGUCAUCAACAUUUUUCAUGGGGGAGAGCCGUGGUCCCUGGCUGCCUCCAUCAUUUACUUUGCAGUAAUGAUAUGUUUAUGUGUUAACCCCAAAAUUAGCUCGGCCGAGCCGGGAAUGCCCACAACGACUCCCUGAGGGACAUAUUUGUACCUGCAGAGCAGGACUGGGUGCAGUCACACACAGGCAGGGCCGGCCCAGGAGAACCCCUGGAGUUGUAAAAGCAGAGUUCAGCAAAGCCUGGCUGAAUGGCACCAUUUAAGCCUCAAAGGAGAGCCCAAGUGCCAGCCAGCACAAAGAGAUAAGGAGCACCCCAGAGAGGCCCACAAAGGUGGCUCUGAUGAGCAGUGCUUGGCUUUGCUCCCACAGGGGUCACAGCUGGGUCCUCUAUUAAAUUUUUCUCAACACAGGAGUAUUGACAAUUUAUACCAAGUUACUCACUAGUAUUUGACAGUCCUGGCAUCAGCAAAGACAGUCAAAGGCUCUGUUAUCUUCUUUAAUAAUGUGGCAAAUUUGGCUCUGAGGAGACAAAGGUCCAGCAGAGCAUGUGGGGAAUGUCACUCGUGUGGGUAAAGCUGAACCUUUGUCUCUCUGAAGGUGCAUCCUGGGCUUAGCUACAAGAGCCUUCAUCUGGAAAUACCAGUGACUGGUAAAAUGUGUCCAUUCAGAUUUUUUUUUUUUAAUUACCUGUUAUAACUAGAGGGAGAAACUAUUUCCAUUUCAUUGCCAGUAUCCUUUUGGAGCUGAAGUUUCUGUGUGCACACGCAGCAUUCAGGUACAUCACACUGAAUCAUUGGUGUGGCAAAGUCAUUCCCAGUCUGUUUGUUUUCUAUGUGCCAUCCUAUCAGCUCCAACUGAGUUGGGAAGAGGUAAAGCAACGAGAACGGGCAGUUUUUAAGGUUGCACCAAGUAGAAGGUAAGAAAAUAUAAUAAAUUUUAUUUCAUGCCUUCUUGCCAAUUGCUAGAAAUGUGCAGUCCAUAUGAAUGCUCAUAACAAGGAGGGAAUGUUGGGAAAACCAAUAAAGAUUUUGUGGUCUUAACUAUAAUGAAUGUAGUUUGAUAUAGAGUCUGUUUUUCACUGCAUGGCAAAAUGAAUCAUAAAAUACUGGACCUUGAAACUCCUGCAUUUUUUAACAAUAGCCUGGGGACAGUUUACAGUGUAAUGAAUUGUAAUUAACCCACCUUCAAAAUCUUUUAUGAGUAUUUUGCCAAUUAGCUUCGCAUGCUUGCUAAUGACUCAUGGCCAGCGCAUGUCUUUACAGAGCAGGGUUCACAGCACACACCAGCCCAGGAAGGCAGCAGAGGGACACAGGAUGGGGAGGGAGAUGCAGGUAAGAACCAACAGUCCUAGCAACCUACAUAUUUCAGUGUUCAAAGAGCCUCUGCUGUUCUCCCAGCCCCAAAAUAACUGCUAUAAUGUAUAGCGACGUCAAAAGGCUUUGGUUUCCAAAGGAUUGCGAGGAAUGCAAAGGGCUCAAGUCCUGACAUCUGUUGUUACUUAGUACUAACAUAUAUAAUGCUGCUAAUUGCUGAGCCAUCUUUGUUUUCCUUACUUAGCACUAGGGUUAGAAUUAUUUUAUUUUUGUGGUUCAUGGCUUCCUGCCACUUGCAACACAAAGUCCACUCUAAAGAAAAUAAAACAACUACCAGGCUGCCUACUAACAGUGUGUGGAGGGCUGGGGCUACCUCUUCCCCCUCUUCUGUUUUAGGUGGUGUUUUUCUUGCUUUUUGAUUUUUAUUUUUAAAUUAAGGUAAGAGGAGACAGCAGAGCUGGGACCUGACCAGUGUCACAGCAAAAGGCCACAUGUGUCAGUACCCUGUCUCCCAGUAUCCCAUCUCCCAGUAUCCCGUCUCCCAG